rnacentral:rRNA from 1 species
AGUCGAACGAAGCGCUUAAAUGGAUUUCUUCGGAUUGAAGUUUUUGUGACUGAGUGGCGGACGGGUGAGUAACGCGUGGGUAACCUGCCUCAUACAGGGGGAUAACAGUUAGAAAUGACUGCUAAUACCGCAUAAGCGCACAGUGCUGCAUGGCACAGUGUGAAAAACUCCGGUGGUAUGAGAUGGACCCGCGUCUGAUUAGCUAGUUGGUGGGGUAACGGCCUACCAAGGCGACGAUCAGUAGCCGGCCUGAGAGGGUGAACGGCCACAUUGGGACUGAGACACGGCCCAAACUCCUACGGGAGGCAGCAGUGGGGAAUAUUGCACAAUGGGGGAAACCCUGAUGCAGCGACGCCGCGUGAGCGAAGAAGUAUUUCGGUAUGUAAAGCUCUAUCAGCAGGGAAGAAAAUGACGGUACCUGACUAAGAAGCACCGGCUAAAUACGUGCCAGCAGCCGCGGUAAUACGUAUGGUGCAAGCGUUAUCCGGAUUUACUGGGUGUAAAGGGAGCGUAGACGGUUGUGUAAGUCUGAUGUGAAAGCCCGGGGCUCAACCCCGGGACUGCAUUGGAAACUAUGUAACUAGAGUGUCGGAGAGGUAAGCGGAAUUCCUAGUGUAGCGGUGAAAUGCGUAGAUAUUAGGAGGAACACCAGUGGCGAAGGCGGCUUACUGGACGAUCA